rnacentral:rRNA from 1 species
UACGGAGGGUGCAAACGUUGCUCGGAAUCAUUGGGCGUAAAGCGCACGUAGGCGGCCUACUAAGUCGGACGUGAAAUCCCUCGGCUCAACCGAGGAACUGCGUCCGAUACUGGCAGGCUGGAAUCCGGGAAGAGGGAUGUGGAAUUCCAGGUGUAGCGGUGAAAUGCGUAGAUAUCUGGAGGAACACCGGUGGCGAAGGCGGCAUCCUGGACCGGUAUUGACGCUGAGGCGCGAAAGCUAGGGGAGCAAACGGGG